CGAGCCCGCCCCCUACCAAGACCAUUCCCUCUGGCUGACCCAGAGGCGGACACGUCUCAAGUCUCCUCUCCCCUCCCUAUGCCUAUAUAUGAGUUAGUCUGAGUUUCUUUUUUUCCCCUCCUCUGCCACAUAAAAAGUGUUUCGUUCCCAUUUCCCUACCCCGCCUUCUUUCCCUCUUUCCUCCCUCCCCCUCUCUAUCGACGUGUCUCUCUGGAUAUUUUUAGGGGAGUUCUCUAUAAAAGUCCCGAGAAAGUGAGGGCCAGGCACUAAAACGUGGCACUCGGGCCCCUACAGGCAGCGAAAUCUCCAGACCUCCACUCCAGUUAUUUUCCCGAAACUGACAUCUCAGAAAAGAGAAGCAAAGAUAGAGUGAAAGUGAAGAUUCCCAUACAGAGAGCAAGCAACUAACUUGGAUCGUGAUUGACAUGAAAGGAAAAUUUUAAUAUCUGUGAUAUUUAAAAAGAAGAAAUAAGAUUAGGUUGAAAUUAUGAAAAACUACCAGCUAAAGGUCAUGGCCUUUUGCCAUUUAAUUCUUAAUUGAAUUUUGCUGUGUACAAGCCAGUGGUCACAUAUGGUAACCCUUGGGUGUUCGGUUUUUAUCCCUUUUAUUUCUUUUAUGCUCCUUACAAAGAUAAGUUAUAUUUUUGUCCAUUUAUUUGUUUUUUUAUAACUACAUAUUUGUGCAAUAUCACCAACUGUUUCAUAAUAAAAUUAAUUUAUUUAACAAAUAAUAUUAACAUCUGCCAAAUGAAAGUAAUAAUGCUAAAAUUUCAUUUAAAUCUAAUAGUGUCCUUAGAAGGCUAAAUAUUCUAGAGAUUAGUAAGCCUAAAAUAAGUAAGCAUAAAGAUGUUUGCCUAUGGAUUUAGUUGAUUUCUUAAAAAGCAGUCUUAAUUUCACCAAAAAAUAAAUAAUGAAAUGCUAAAAAUAAUGUUUUGUAUAAAUAUUAUGUCUUAACUCUAGUACUUAAGAAAAAACUUAAUAAUAGCUGACAAAUGGAGUGUACUUUACAGGAAGAUAAUAUGCCAUAGCACACUUUUAAAAUGUAAUGCAGAAAAAUAUGACAAGGAAAAAAUCAUGAAAGUGAAAUCCAAUGGAAUUUCACAAAGAAAAAAAUAAAAAGUUUCAUUUUCAAAAAUCUGA